GUCGAGAGUUUGGAUCCACUACUAGCUAGAUUUGGAACUCAAUGAGUCACACACAAUAAAAAUUUAGUCUUGGUCUAAUCUAUUUAGAUUUAUUAUAAAUUUUAUGGGUUAAUUGAUUUGUUAGCACAUGAAUUAUCCCAAGUUUCAAUUGGAUUCGGUGCAAAGGUGUUUGUACUAACCCUUGACUUGUUGCCUUGACCUAA
rnacentral:lncRNA from 1 species